GCGUCGGUAGGGCAACGGUUAGUUUACGCUCCCGGAAAGAGUGAGAUGUGGGUUCGAAUCCCGGCCGACGCA